UACAGAGGGUGCGAGCGUUGUCCGGAAUCACUGGGCGUAAAGGGCGCGUAGGUGGCCCGACAAGUCAAUGGUGAAAGUUCGACGCUUAACGUCGAAUCGGCCACUGAUACUGUUGGGCUGGAGCACUGUAGAGGCUCAUGGAAUUCCGGGUGUAGCGGUGGAAUGCGUAGAGAUCCGGAAGAACACCGGUGGCGAAGGCGGUGAGCUGGGCAGUUGCUGACGCUGAGGUGCGAAAGCGUGGGGAGCAAACAGG
rnacentral:rRNA from 1 species